GAUGAAGAACGCAGCGAAAUGCGAUACGUAAUGUGAAUUGCAGAAUUCAGUGAAUCAUCGAGUCUUUGAACGCACAUUGCGCCCCUUGGUAUUCCGAGGGGCAUGCCUGUUCGAGCGUCAUUUCAACCCUCAAGCACAGCUUGGUCUUGGGCUUCGCCGCUAACCCGGCGGGUCUUAAAAUCAGUGGCGGUGCCGUCGGGCCCUGAGCGCAGUAAUCUCUCUCGCUAUAGGGUCCCGGCGGAUGCUGGCCAGUAACCCCCAAUUUUCUAUGGUUGACCUCGGAUCAGGUAGGGAUACCCGCUGAACUUAAGCAUAUCAAUAAGCGGAGGA
rnacentral:misc_RNA from 1 species